GUAAGGAUGGCCCAGGACUCAUGACCAGCAUCUGAAGUGGGGGUCAUCUUGUGCGAUGGAGCCUCUAGCCUGCGGGGUCUGACUCUAAUUCUGGCUAAAUAGUGUCAGAAUUGGAUUGAACUGUCGGACACCCAGUUGAGGAUUUGAGAACUGUAGAGACUCUGGUUGGCUGGAAGCACCGGAACACAUGAUGAACAGUGACUUAAGCUCCUGUCAUAAGAAGCUGAUUGAUCUUGAACUUGAUUCAGCCCAUUGAUAUCGUCACUACUGAUAAAAGGCCUCAAGACAAUCGAUGUGAAAUCUGAAGCAACCGAGAUGAGCAAACAUUUUCAAAGAAGCAUACCUUCUGCAGAGGCUGCUCGGACUUCCAGGGUAUUUGGCACGAAGGAAGAGGCCACAGAAGGAGCUAAAAAUAAAGCCUGCAGUUCACAGAGUUAGCCUGUGGCCGUUUCAUGAGUUAGAAGUGCUUUGGUGGGAGUGGGAGCGAAGCAAUAAAAGAAGAUGAGAUUGAAAAUUCACUCA